CCCGCGGCUCUGGGCACCGCGGGCCGGGUCGGGCCGGGUCGGGGUCUGGAGCGGGCUCGGCCCGCAGCCCCUUGGUCCUGCGGGCCCCCGACCGCCAGGAUGAGGUGCAGGCGGUGCUGGUGCCGCGGGCAGGAACGUCGGUGUGGAGGGCGCGGGGCUGGAGCGAGAGCGGGUUCGGGGAUCGCCGGUGCAGCAGAGACAGGGGCUCUGGAGCCGGUCUAGAGGAGGGCAGCAAAGACGAUGAAGGGACAGGAGCAUCUCUGUCACGGUGACACGCUGAGAGCUGGGCCUGUUCAGCCUCGAGAAGAGACGACCAGAGAGGCCUCAUCAAUGUGUAUAAAUAUCUAAAGGCAGGAUGGAGCCAGGCUCUCCUUGGUGGUCACAAGCAAUAGGCAAGAGGCAACUAGUGGCAGCUGGUGCACAGAAAAUUCCACCUGAACACAAGAAAAAUGUCCUUAUUGUGUGGGUGACCCUGCACUGGAACAGAUUUCGCAGACAGUUGUGGAGUCUUUCUGACUGGAGACAUUCAAGAGCCACCUGGAUGCUGUUCUGUGCAAUGUGCCUCAGGAUGACCCUGCUUGAGAAGGGAGGUUGGAUAAGAUUGGGGUUGGAGGUUGGACCCACUGUGCUCCCUCCCAGCCUCACCCAUUCUGUGACUGUGAUUCAAUGAGAGCUGAACUGGGCUUUUGCACCCCCAGGGAUCUGUCCAAAAGCUGUGAUUGCACAAGGCAGAGGAAGGGAGGCAGAAAAAAUAGAAAGGCUCUUGUGGAUGAAAUAGGUUUAUAGGCAAGGGUGAAGUAGGAACAAAGAUUAUCAACAUAAGGACUUCACUGGGAGGAGAGGAGAUGAGUAAUCAACCAGCAAUGUAGAAUAGGCUCAGUGAUAGAUAAGGAGCACUGAAGGAUGGGUGUGAUGGCAAGAGCCAGGAGCCUUCAGUGUGAUAAACCCCAAGUCGUAAACAUUGAAACCAGUAGAUGUGGAGACCUGAAUCUCAACUGCUUCUACAAAAACUCUUGGUAUGUGGAUGUGGUUAAAGAAACCUGAGCAGUGCUUUAAGAUGUAAGGGAGAGAAUGAGACAAGAGAGAAGCAUCCCUUCCUUGGACCCCUCCUAACUUGCACCUCCAGAAACCCAAUGCUCCUCUGCUGCUCACAGCUGCAGCUGUGAAUCUGGCACAGCUUACACCGCUGUCUGGUUGUUGGUGUAUGCACUUCUGGCCAUACUUUUGCCAAAGAAUUGAUAUCCUAAACAAGAAGGAUCUUUUCCUUGCUGUCCCCCAAAUGUGAUUUUCAGUUCCAAACAGUAGGAAAAUUAAAUAUAAAAUGGCCAUAGAAAUAAUCCAGGGUUUGAAUGUAAGCCUUAAGGGUGUUAUCCUGAAAUUUUGCUGCAUUAUCCUGGAUCUUGAAUUAAGAUGAAGUUUACAAUUACUAAAACGAUUUAAUUGUUAAAAUUGACCAGCAAAAGUGAUGAAUAUUUUGUUACUUGGACUUGCUUGAAAGAAGCUUUCUAGAAAAGCUUUGAUCCAGCUCUAGGGUGAGACCAUCUAUUCAAGAGACAGCAGAUCCCAGCUGCCUGCCUGUGAAUUUACGUGGGGGAUAACUCCAGUCAGAUGUUUUGCUCUUUAUACCAAAAGUGACAUAUGUAGAGUCACUUUUACUUGUGCCAGCUAAAUGGAAUGCUCUAUGUUCUGAAGCUGCACUGAAUCCUUCCCUUAUGAGAAACUCUUAGCUGAUCAGGGCUCAGGCAGUCACAGACCAUGCAUUUCCAGAAUUUGGGAAAGGCACUAGAGGGUGCUGUGCUGAAGGAGAAGAAACGGGAUUUGUAUCAUCAGGAAAAACCAUCCCGACCUCUGCAAGGUGAAAAUCUCCCUCUUUUUUCCUCUGAGACCAUGUAGGCCUCUUCCUGCAGUAACAGCAGUGUGCCUUUUUCCUAAAGGAGGGGAUCAAUAGAUGCUGGUUUUCCUGAAUCUUACACAAGCUGACAUAACUGACAUAAGGAGACAAAGAGUGCAGCCUGAUGUAUAAAUACAAACUUAAUGACAUUAAAAUUGUAAAAGAUUGGUUGAACAUUAUUAAAUGCAUCUUUUUUCUUAGUAAAGACAGGCCCCAGGAGAACCUUGGGAGGGGGCAUGGGGACACUAGAAGUGUCCCCUGGCUGUGUCUCUGUGGCCUGUGACAGGGCCAUCUGAGCAGGGCCCCUUCCCAUCCUGAGCUGGUUGGAUACAGGCCAGCUUGGAUCCAAAAGCUGGGGCUGUGUCAUCAGCACUGUAGGGCACGUAGGCCAACAGGCCUGGCAGGAUUUAUGAGUGCUGGAGGAUGGCUCAGAGCAAGUCCAGAUCUGUUUAGAAAAAGUUUUUAAUGCUGUGGAAGCUCCUGGGGCCCGGUUCUGAGGAGCACAAGUGACAGGUGAACCCUCAGACAGUACAAGCAGGGGCUGUGAUACAGCAGAAGGUGUGGGGAAGGAAACCAAACCCCUCGACAAGGCAUGCUUUAGGCAUCUGUGUGGUGCCUGGGACACAACAAAGAUACACUUUAAAUAACAGACACUUAGGACUUAAAAUGCUGCAUUUACAUUUCUUGUUUCUCUAAAGGUCAAGAUGAGUUACCCUCAUUCAAUACAUUGGCAGGUGCACUUAUUAAUGUGUAUUUGUGUAUUUUGUUUUCUGUGGGGAACAUAAUGUUCUUGGGAACCUGUCAACCUAACAGAACGGUUUGGGUUGGAAGGGAUCAUGGGCAGGGAUGCCACUUACUAGGUCAUAUUGCCCAGGGCCCCAUCCAACCUGGCCAUGAACACUUUUGGGGAGGAGGCAGCCACACUCCAGUGCAUUUUCUGUAUAUCUUCGGUAAAGAAAAUGUAGCAAUCCAGGAGAUGUUUAGAGUACCAACCCACCCCCCCCCCACACUCUUCCAUUUUUGUGUUACAUCUUCCAUUUCAGCAAUUUUCAAACAUUUUACAUUCUCAGUCACAAGUGUAAAUCAAGGGGAAGGAACAAGAAUAAAACUCUACCUGCGGUUUGGUUUUUUUUUAUGUUUGUAAUUAGUACAUUAGAAAAAUCCCAGCAGAGUUCACAAGCUCAGAGGGAAGCUCAGCUGCUGCCCCCUCCUCUUGCUGCACAAUUCCCAAUUUGCUUCUGGUUACAGCUUCAGUGGCUACAGUAGGAAAAUGCCACCUUUGGAGGAGGCUGUAUCCUUUAUUACCAGGCUGUUUUGCUACAGUUAGCUAUUCUUUCCAGUUUCUUUCCUGUUGCCUUCAGCAGGAAUAGGGAGGCUUGAAGACAGGAUCAGAUUUUUCGCCUUCUACCACUAUCAGUGAACCUAAUACAGUCAUAAAAAAGUGAAAAGGUGGAGCCAAAUCAACAACAACAACAACAACAAAAAAAAUCAUGUAAGAAUCUGAACUUUCUGAUUUCUCAAGCAGCUUGUAAAACUACAGCUUCACCAGCAUAAAGGCAGCCAGGGUGAUUUAUUCUGGCUCUUCACAGCUUACAUGUUUCAUAUCUCUUGAUGACUUUCAGUUGAGAUUGUAUGCAUUACUUUUCCUAACAGUAGAAACAUUUGGCUGCUUUUUUUUUUAUUCAAAGUGUAGUUAUUCCUGUAGAUAGGCACCUUGCUUACAGUAAACAAGUGCCAACACCAGUGUACCAGAACACACAAACUGUAAUUUGCACGUCUAGACUUUAUUAUUACGGCAUUUUAGUUGCAAUUUAUCCCAGACACACAAGUCAAUGUAAUUUUACACUUCAUUAUGUCUGCUGCUGUUUUCCCAAGCAAAUCAGCAUUAAAAAAAAAAAAAACCUGCAGAACUUUAGCAUUACUAAAAAACUCUGGAAAUGACAGUAGGUGCCAGUCUGUAGAGCAAAAACCAUUUUUCCACAAUCCCUCUUCUCACUAGUCAUCAGCUAUUCAUAACAGGGCUUAUGCUAUUUUUCAGAUUCAUGGAAUAUGAAAUUAUAAGAUACUACUAUUUAUUAAUAAAUGACUCAACCAAAAGGUUUUGAGCCUGCAGAGGUAGCUAGUUACACAAAAGGAAAGCAGAAAAGCAAUCCACAACCUAAUCUGAGUCUAGAGAGACCACAGGCCUUUUCAACUGCUUCAGAAUUCCUAUUAUAAUGUAUAUAUUUAAGUAAGAUAUGUUUGAUCAUCUUAUUAUAUUUUCCCUUCCCAGUAUGUGACAGGAGAUUAAAGCAGAUCAUAAUUAUCCUUUAUAUUGCUUGACAAGCUCACCAUCAGUGUGACAGGUGAUCUGGAAUGUUGUCUUCAGUGUGCUCCAACCACAGCUUUGACAUCGCUGACGUUUCAGAUACAGCAGGCUCAACACAGAGGAACUUGCUGAAGUUACCUCAGUGGCUUCUAUUUAUCUGUACUUCCCAGCUCUGUGACCUUCAAAGGACAUACAGUCAUUCACAUGUCAUUUGGCCUUACUGCUCUAUUGUUCUGCAGGCCUUGGUGGAUUUCCCAGGGAGAUUUAUGGACAGCUAGCUUCAUGGGAUGUACAUGACUCUUCCAAAAAAGCCCAAACAAGCCUAAUGCCAAAACCCCACACCAACAAAAACUGCCUUGUCUUUUGAACAGUGUUCCCUCCCACAAAUGAGUGGAGUUUCUGAAACUCCAAACCUGCAUCAUGAAGGAUGAAGCAAUCACAAGACCAGUUCAGGGUGGCGGUUGAAUAAUAAAUACAAAUUAGGCUACUACAGCAGGCCAUGAGAAUAAGGAAAUUAAAACAUUAUUUAAUAUGGUAUUUACUUAUUCAUGAGGAAUAGUAAAAUAAAAAAAAAAACCUUCCAGACUGCCCUGGGCAUUAUGAUGCAAAUGCACCUUGUACUUGGGAACUGUUGCAAUGUCUGAAUGCUUAGAAAUAUGUAUAAGCUGCAGUCAGGAGAAAACACCAUGCCAGUCAUUUUCAAAUGGGUCUUUCCAUAAAUUACUUUAUUUCUCAUUAAAUGAGCACAGAGUCAUUACCAUAUUAAUAACAGAUAUGUUUAUUAUUACAUAUCCAUCAGUGCGGCUUUCAAUACCACUUGAAACAUGCAAAUCGUCCUAAGGACGAAUCAGUUUUCCAGUGCUUCUUAUUUAAUACACAACUGCAAAGCCAUUAUAAAUUAUUGAGGAGGUAUUUGGUUAAGAAAUAAAAUAAAAUAAAACCAUACUGCCCAUACCAUGAAUGUAUUCCUGCUACAAAGCAAGAGUCUGACAGCAUUUACUGAAAUUCCUGAAUUUCACCCAGAGCUUUUGCGUCUUUUUUUUCCUGCAUUGCCUGCACAUCUCUUGGCUUAUGAACAAGAAUCAGUCUUUCUUUGUAAGAGGAAUUCUCACUCAAAGAUUGUACUUAAUUUAGAAAUGCAUCUAGCAUCUACAAUACUUCAACCAAUUAAAGUUCAAUAAAAACUACUGAUAGGCAAUAGUUUUUUAGAGGUUUCUUUUGCUUAGUUUUAGGUUUCUACAUUUAUCGACAUGGCAAUAAUACAAUUAUCUCAAAUUAAGGCACUAAAAGAACAAUGUAAAACCAAGUAAAAGUGUUCUAAGAAUAAUUUACAGUUCAAACAGUGCAUAUAUUUCUUAAAGGUUUGUUAACUUAAUGUACGUUAUCACUUAAAAUUGUAAGGCAAUACAUUAUACAGUAAUAGAAAUGAUGUACCCCAAAAUAUGCUUCCAAACUCGGUGGUUCUUUUUACUGUUAGUUUCUAAUGCCUCUAACAAUAAAAUAAUUCAGUAU